UUCAAGACAUACAAUAAUUAUCCCCGUAUAUUUUUCAUUUUGUUAGUUCUUUUUUCUCUCGUUCUUUUAAUCUUUUCCCCAUUCCAUUAUGUUUUCAUAUCCAGACCUCUCCCGAGAAGCCCCACCUAAUUCCUUCUUCGGAUCCCUCAAUUUCCACUCUUCACUAUUUUCUCCAAUCCAGAUUCAAAAAAAUAAUUUUUCCCGGCUGUAAUGGCACCUUGUUUCUAAACAACUUAUUAACUAAAAUUUACUGCAGUAACUAAAUUAAUUUUCAACACAUCUAAUUACUCAUUUUAACGGGUGCGGGGUUGAUCAAGUUGGAGGAAAAAACAAUUGAAGAAUUUGCUCACUGGAUCUGAUCAAACUUUCUCAUUGUUUCUGAGCGGAACCAAUCAUGAAUUCCUUUUCUUUCGGCAUGCGUCUUAGGUUAGUAACCCAACCCCAAUUAAAACUCAUGUUUCUUGUGCUUGUUAUUGGAUCAAAUUUGCAAAAUAUUAUCUGGGUCAUUGAUUUUUUUUUGCUGAAAUUUUCUGAUUUUCAGUCUGAAGUUUUAGAUACGAGCUCCUCUCGAUUUGGAUUCAUUAUAUAUAAUUCACUCAAAAUAAUUUUCGUUUUUCAAAUCAUUUUCGUUUGCGGUAUUUCAAAUUUUCAAAUCGAGCUUUGAAGCUUUAGUGGUUGAUCAAUCAUAGAAAGAAGGAAGUAAAAGAAGAAAGAAGAAGGUAGAAGAAGCCAUUAAUGGCUGAAUCCCAGAAGGAAGAAGAACAAGCAGUAUGAUGAAUGGCCAGUUUGGAUAAUCUUAGUAAAGUUAGGCUAAUUUCUUUGCAGACAAAAUGACCGACGGGCGUAUCGCAUAAUUAUUCCAUAAUAUUAUCGUUAGGGAAUUUCGUCUUUGAAAGGUAAUUAUAAUCAAAGAACAGUUAAACUAUGAAAUUUCUAUUUUGUGAACCAAAAAAUUAAUAUUUCUUUAUACUAUAAUAUAUCAAAAUUGAUUGUACAAUUUAACAUUUACGUUACAGAAUAUUUAAUUUAAUAAAAGGGUGCUAAUCAAUAUAUAUAUAUAUAUACUAGUUCCACCCAGGCGCGUGCCAAGACGGGUAUUAUAUUUUUAUCUUUUAAUUAAUCUUAUUUAAUGAAAUAUUAAACAUGCUUUUUUGAUAAGUAUUCAUAAUUAUUUAAGUUAAUAAUUAUCUAAUUGAAUAAUUUAAAUUAAAAUAUUAUUUUUGAGAAAUAAAUAUAUUGUCAGAGAAUUAGAUAUAUAAAUAAUUCUUGAAGAUAAAUAAUUUUUGAAGAUAAGUAUAUAAAUAAUUUUGAUUCGCCAAAAAUAAUAAAUCAAAAAAUAUGAUACUUUUAUGAAUUUGUUAGUAUAGAUAAAAUAAAUUUAUUUUGAUGAAAAAUCUUUUUUUCUUCUUAUAGAAUUAUUUACUACAACAAAUAUUUUUAUCACUUCAAGUUUAUAUUAAAAUAAUUAGAACAUUAAUUUAGAGUCUUAACACAAAUGACGAAUAAGGACAUUAAAUAGUAAUUAAAUUACAUAAUACAUUACUCAUUUACUUGUCAUAUUUAUUUUCUUACACGCCCUUUAAAGAAUAAACUUUUCUUCCCAUUAUAAUUAUUAAUUUACUUUUUUGAUGUCCACUAAGAAAAAUAGUAGUAAAUAUAAGAUAAUGCCUAUUAAGUUGUCCUAUUUAGUACUUAUAUUUUUUAAAAAAAAUUAAAUAAGAUUUGUAAAAGAUUUCAACCGUGUAGUAAAAAAUUAUUGCAAACGUUAAUUUCAUGUUAAAAGGUAUUUUGACGUAAUUUUUUUUCAAGUUAAAGUGAUUGUUUUUAAUAAAUAAAAGAAGUUAUAAUUAAAAGGCAAUCCAAUAAAUUACAAGAGGAAACCAAUUAUAAAAGGCCAAGUGAAGAUGGCCUUAACAAAAAAAGGAGAGGGCAAAAAUAAAAAUAUACAAGAAAAGGAAAUCAUCAAUGCACUACAAAUUUGACAUGUACAAUAACUUUGCUUAAAAAAAAGUGAAAUGUCUAAAAAGUCCUUGUGAGGACUACCAAACUUGUGAUUCUCCCUUAUAUAUAAGUACUAGUCUCGGGGGGGCCGUGCUAAGCUCGGGGCCAACCUCAAGAUCUAAAAAGUGAAAUGUCUAAAAAGUCCUUGUGAGGACUACCAAACUUGUGAUUCUUCCUUAUAUAUAUAUGUAUAUAUAUAUAUAUGUAUAUAUGUAUGUAUGUAUACUAGGUGGGAAUACACUGGGUAUGCUGUUGUUGAUAUGUAGGACAUACAACAAUAAAUAAUGUAAAUACAAAGUAAGAAAACAUGAAUGAAUGCAAGAAGAUGAUUUCAAUCAAACCUAAAAUAAGAAGAAAAGUAGAAGUAGAAGAAAUUGACUCACAAUUUUUAACUUCAUAAUUAUAAGUAAAGUUUAGCCGUAUCUUUAACAUCUCAAUAAACAUGGCCGAUGAGAUAUAAGAACAAUAUAAAUUUUAAUAAUAGUUAAUUUUUUAUUUAGACGAAUAUGAAUCCUUGUGGGUUAUUGCAUAUAGAUUCUAAAUAUAAUUAUAAGAUGUAGUUCUAACCAAAUUGAUUCUUAUUUACCUAUGUACGUAAUUCUAAUAAGUUGACUAAAGAAUCCUAAUUAAUUUAAGUUAUUGAUAUUACAUGUUUUUAUAUUUGGAAAAUGUAAGAAGCCCUAAUAUUCACUUUGGAAUUAACUAAAAUUGAACUUACUAAAUCUUUCCUUGUAAUUGUUUGAGUUAUGUUAAAAUUCAAAAAUUUUAAAAAUAAUGUAAAUUUUACAUUUAGAUUAAUUAUUGUAGGGUGUAGGUUGGUAGAAUCCUAUUCAACUCCUCCUUUAAUAUUUUAUAUUAAAAACUUAAAGUACUUAAACUUUACCUUAUAUAGAAAUCUGAGUAUAUGAUGUAUAAUUCCUUCAUGUUAGGUUUCUUUAUCUUAAUCAAAUAAAAAUUAACAUGGAAUUUGUGAUGCUUUUUUAUUAAUUAAAAUUUAAAAUUUACGUGUGUGGUUUUCACUUGUUAAAGGACAAUUUUCUUAAACUUUUCUUACCAUAUAUUUUAAGACUCCUUUUUCAUGUACACAGGGAUAAAACAAAACCUACUAAUAACAAUUUACCAUAUAUAUUUGAAUUACUUAAUUUUUUAAUAAUUAAUUAAUAAUUAAAGAAAAUAACUGAAAAGAUAAUUUUAUCUAUUGCGGAGUCUUUUUAUGAAAGGCAAAGAGUUGAAUCACUUUUCUAAGGGUCUUCACACUUUUAAUAUACUAGUUUAGGUGUACGCGCUUCGCGCGUGUAUCUUAGUUUAAUGAAUUCAAUUUUAUAAAAUCAUUCAAGAUAAUGAUUUUUCAAAAAGUGUAUUGCAUUUUUUGUUUGUUAGCAUCUUCACAUUACAGCUGCUUUCAGCUAUUAUUCAAUUCUAUGAAAAAAGUAGAAAUUAGCCAACCGAAAAGCAAGUAUCUUACUUUAAACACAAGAAAAUUUAUAAAGAAGAGUAUAUUCUCUUUAGUCCUCCCUUGAGCCAUUUUCCUUAGCUCUUGUCUCUUUCUUUAAUCCUCUCAAUCUCUCUUUUCAACUUAUUUAAUUUCAUAUCAACACAAUUAUUAUUUUGUUUGAAUUCUUUAGGCUUGUUAGCUUCUUCAGGAAAUUCCUUAACUAAUCUGUUCAACCCAAUUAAUUUCUCAACUUCAUUGGCUGAUGUAUGAUAUUCAAUAUGUUGGGAAGAUUCCUCGAAAAAUAUUUUUGUCAACUAACAUUUAUAUUUAGGAUUUUAUUAUAGUAGGUAGAUAGAUUAACUCAAUUUACAAUGAAUAAUGUACUUGAUUUGUCUUCAAACCUAAUUAGUAAGCCCAAAAUUGAAAGAGUCGGCUAUAAUACUAAAUUUAUAUGUUCAUCAUUCAAACAAAAGUUAUGCAAAUCAAGAUUCAACACUUAUUAUAAGCUUAUAUUUAGAACUCAACCAAUAAGUUUAAUUAAUAAUCCAAGUAUAAUACCAAUGAAAUAGUUAAAUAACAUAAUCAAAACAAAGUCACAAUUACAUAAAGGAAGAAAAAAAAAAGAGAUAAACCUUUGAUAUUUUUGACCACUUUACUUGAUGGCGACAUAUUUAUUUCUUUCAAUUUUUGAUUAAAAAUUUCCUAUUGAAAGAGAAACACGAGAAAUUAUCAAAAGAGAAAAUUAUAUUGUCAGUUGUGGAUGAUUUAAUCAUAAUUUAUAUCGUAUAAUCUUUAAAGUUAUUAACUAAAAAGAAUAAAGAAAGACAGAGAAGAUGAUAAUUAAUUAGGACUACACACACAAAAAAAGAAAAAGACAACUUGAAUUAAUAACGAAAUAAGGAGAAAAAAUAAAAGUAGAGCUAUGUUUCUUGUAAAUUUGAUCCAAAAUAUAUUAAUUAAAUAGAAUUGUAAUUUUUAUUUUAACCAAUUAAUUAAAGUUUUUAAAGAUUUAUUUAAGAUAGAAUUUUUAAUUGAUUUAAAAUUCCUAAAUUUUAGCUAAAAAAGAAAAAGAAAAAGAUAACUUGAAUUAAUAACGAAAUAAGGAGAAAAAAUAGAAGUAGAGCUAUGUUUCUUGUAAAUUUGAUCCAAAAUAUAUUAAUUAAAUAGAAUUGUAGAUUUUUUUUUCUUUAUAUAACAUAAAAUUUUAAGUGAUUUAGAAGUGUUAAAUAUUAUGAAUUCUUACUUAAAUUAAAUAACCAAAUCAAAAGAAGUUAUACCUAAAAUAAAUUGGGAACAAAACUUUUAGCAAAAAGGAUUCUUACGUGAAGAUAAAAAAUGUCAAAAUAGUACUCACCAAUUAAUUAAUAUUUUUAAAGAUUUAUUUAAGAAACAACUUUUAAUUGAUUUAAAAUGCCUAAAUUUUAGCUAUAUAAUUCUAAUAAGGAAAGGUUUAAGAACUAAAUUUUAAUGAAUUUUUAAGUUAUAAAUUUUUUUUAAAAUGUAAAAAUAUAUUUACGUCUAUUGCAUAUUUUUGUAAUGAAGGAUAAAAAGUUUAAAUUAUUUUUUUCAAGGGUUUUUACACUUUUAAUAUAUUAUAAAUAUAGAUAUAUAUAAAGGAGAAUUAAGACAGUUGUGAUGUGGCAUGUCCCUCCGUUCACAUUUAUCUUUUUUCUCUUUUUUUGACAAUUUUUUUAAUUUUUUUCUUUGUUUUCUACUCAAAAGGUUUAAACAAUAUACUAUCCAUUCAUUGAGUGUAAUUAAUAAUUAUUGUAAUUAAGCUAAUGAAAUUGAAAAGUCCCCAUCAACUAUAUAGUCUGCUGUCCAUCGUGCCAUCUCCCCUUUAUUAAUUUUGAGAAUAUUAAUUUUAUUACAUACUCAGAAAAAUCAACCGUCAUCUUUAAUAAUCUUAAGCAUACCACUUUAUUCUAUUAAUUACACCUUUUCCUUUUCUCUGAAUCUGUUUCAGAUAGAAUUUUUUAUAUACCAGGUAAAUGAGAACAAAUUGAACAUAGGUCUAAUUAUCUAAAAUGAUUUGUUGGAAUUUAUUAGCACAUGGAAAAGAUAUCUUAUUUCUCUUAUAAUUUAGGUAGUUGAAUGGUAUUUAAUGCAUCGUGCAAGUAUUCUUUUUAUUUUUUUGUUUUUAUUUCUUCUUUGUUCAUUAUUUUAUUUUCGAAAUGUUUUUAACUUCGUUUAUCUAUCUUUUUUUUUCGAAAGAAAAUUUUAUUGUGAUUUUUCUUAAGUUUUUGAUGAAUUAGAACGUUAUCGCCCGCAAGUUAUCAACAUUUUAUCAUUAAUUCAUGGUGUCAAUAGACAACAUUUAUUUGUUGCGCUUAUCUACAGAUAGCGUACGGGAUUGGCCAUCUGCUAGGAAAAAAUAGAUGGAUGAAUAAGUUCAUACUGUCCUUGAGAUCGUGAAUUGAUUUUGUUACUAUCAGUAUUUUGUGCUUUAAAUUAUGCUUUGAGUGAUAAAUAAUUAAAUGAUCUUAGUAUAGGUGCUUCAACUAUGAAUGACGGGGUCUUUGCAGGGAGUUAUUAUUUUUCUACUACUCCAAAUAGAAUUUUUCGUCAUUCACCUUCUUCCACAAAUUUUCUACUAAUAGAAUUUUUUUCAUCAUUCACCUUUUUUCACAAUUGUAAAUGCUAAUUAGGAUUUGCAUUUAAAAUACAUAAUCUGUCUUAGAAUAAAAUAUUGUUAUUAUGUAUAAAGCUGGACAUAAAUAAAGUGAUAUAUGACACUUUUCUACGACUAACGUUACUAUUUAUUUUUUUGUGAAAUUUUUGAUAGUUUUCGUCAAUUUCUUCCUUCAAAUAUUAUUUAAAUAAAGGCUUCUUGUAUGCAUUGAUUGUUAAAGAAAAAAAUAUCUCUGUGUUGAAUUUUAAGGUAAAGAAAUUGUUAUUUUCCUGCAUUAAAACUAUUCUAAAUUCAUUAGAAUUAUACAUUCAGAAAAGAAUUGAAUUGAAUAAUAAAAUUUCAGUUUCAAAAACCCCUCAUUUUCGGAUACUAAAUGAAAGAAAAAUGAUGAUUUUGCAAAUUAUAUUAUGAUACAAUAAAAAGAUUGAAGAAGUGAACAAAGAAACAAAUGAUUGGUGUUGUGAAGGCGAAGUUGCAGGUUGGCAUCGACAAACCAAUAAGUGAUCCACAUGAAGCAUCAAUUAUUCAGUAUCACCGGGCUUUUCUUUUUUGACUUUUAUUUUGGUGAAUUAUUCUUUAACAUGGUGAGCACAUAUCUAAAAGUACUGUUGAUCUUUAUUUAUAAGUCUGGAAGUGUGAAAUUGCGUUUGAAAUGUAUCAUUUCUGUGUGGUACCUAUAUUGCUUGAACCUUUUAAAAUUAUUGAUGUAUCCUCCAAAGUGUACUAUUUCUGAAGAAUUCAUAUAUAGGCGUUGAUAUUUUUAAAGAGUUUAAUUAACAUAAUGUGGUAUUGUGUAGCCUCUUUUCAGAUUUGAUUUGUGCAAGUAAUUUCAAAUAUACAUAUCAAUGAGAUGAGUGUGUGAAUAUUUGUGGUAAGUUAAAAUUGCACUGUAACGAAAAAAGUGACUAUUCACUUCGGUAUAUGUAAUUGAAAUUGUGCCAAGUAUGUCUGUCAAAAAGAGCGAAAAUCGUUUUCCCUGAAGUUUGUCUUAAAAAUCAAUCUCCAACUAUCAACAAUAAUCAACCUCCCCCCUUUAUCCCAUGCAAUAUCCAUUUUUUCCUUGUAAUAUGAUAAUGUUUAUGGACAUUGCAUAAAAACAUAAACAUUUAUCUUCAUUUUUAAAAAAAAAUCAUAUAACAAAAUCUUCAUAAAAACAUAAACAUUAUCUUCUAAGAAAAAAAUAACUAAUUAAGUAUAUAAGCUAAUGAUGAUCUUUAUGAAGUAAAUUAGCAUGAUAUAAGAAAAUAAGUUUUAUUAAUAAUAAUCAAAAAUAUAAUAUUUAUUUUACAAGUGAAAAUAAUAAGUAAUACUAAUUUUAUAAACAUAUUUCAAUGCAAAAAAUACGAACAAUAAAUGAAAGAGAUUAGUCUCUAGUAAAACCUUUAUUACAUAAAAUGGAGCCCACGUCAAAGGUGUUACGCCAUCUAAAAUAAUUGACAAAGGGUAUCAUGUUAGCUAAAAAGUUUGACAAAAAUACGCUAAAAUUUAGUUUAAGGGGUAAUAGGACCCCCGUGUAGUUGACGUGUGUCGUAGCAAAUCUGAUCAUAGUUCGGGGGCACUAGAUGUUUUUUUCGAAUAAAAAUAAGGUCAAAUUUUAAAGAUUAUAUUAUUUAUAUAAAUUAUAAAAUAUGUAAUACUCUAUUAAUGACAAUCACAACUUAUUUACUGAUAUAGACAAUAGAUAAUAUCGUUUCUUAUCACUUGAUCCUCA
rnacentral:lncRNA from 1 species